UGGGGAAUAUUGCACAAUGGGCGCAAGCCUGAUGCAGCCAUGCCGCGUGUGUGAAGAAGGCCUUCGGGUUGUAAAGUACUUUCAGCGAGGAGGAAGGUGGUGAGCUUAAUACGCUCAUCAAUUGACGUUACUCGCAGAAGAAGCACCGGCUAACUCCGUGCCAGCAGCCGCGGUAAUACGGAGGGUGCAAGCGUUAAUCGGAAUUACUGGGCGUAAAGCGCACGCAGGCGGUUUGUUAAGUCAGAUGUGAAAUCCCCGGGCUCAACCUGGGAACUGCAUUUGAAACUGGCAAGCUAGAGUCUCGUAGAGGGGGGUAGAAUUCCAGGUGUAGCGGUGAAAUGCGUAGAGAUUUGGAGGAAUACCGGUGGCGAAGGCGGCCCCCCUGGACGAAGACUGACGCUCAGGUGCGAAAAGCGUGGGGCAGCAAACAGGAUUAGAUACCCUGGUAGUCCACGCUGUAAACGAUGUCGAUUUUGGAGGUUGUGCCCUUGAGGCGUGGCUUCCGGAGCUAACGCGUUAAA
rnacentral:rRNA from 1 species